rnacentral:rRNA from 1 species
GUAGGGGGCGAGCGUUGUCCGGAUUUAUUGGGCGUAAAGAGCUCGUAGGCGGCUCAGCAAGUCGGCCGUGAAAGCCUGAGGCUCAACCUCAGGACGCCGGUCGAAACUGCUGUGGCUAGGGUCCGGUAGAGGAGAGUGGGAUUCCCGGUGUAGCGGUGAAAUGCGCAGAUAUCGGGAGGAACACCAGUAGCGAAGGCGGCUCUCUGGGCCGGUACCGACGCUGAGGAGCGAAAGCUAGGGGAGCAAACAGGGAUUAGAUACCCUGGUAGUCCUAGCCGUAAACGUUGGGCACUAGGUGUGGCGGAGUCAUUGACAUCUGCCGUGCCGAAGCUAACGCAUUAAGUGCCCCCGCCUGGGAGUACGGUCGCAAGGCUA